GGUCAAGCGAAUAAGCGCACACGGUGGAUGCCUUGGCGGUCAGAGGCGAUGAAGGACGUGGCAGCCUGCGAAAAGUAUCGGGGAGCUGGCAACAAGCUUUGAUCCGGUAAUGUCCGAAUGGGGAAACCCACCCGCUUGCGGGUAUCCUGCAGUGAAUACAUAGCUGCUGGAAGCGAACCUGGUGAACUGAAAUAUCUAAGUAACCAGAGGAAAAGAAAUCAACCGAGAUUCCGUAAGUAGCGACGAGCGAACGCGGACUAGCCCUUAAGCUGGAUUGGUUCUAGGAAAACGCUCUGGAAAGAGCGGCCAUAGAAGGUGAUAGCCCUGUAUCUGAAAGGGCCAUUCCAGUGAAGACGAGUAGGGCGGGGCACGUGAAACCCUGUCUGAACAUGGGGGGACCAUCCUCCAAGGCUAAAUACUACUGACCGACCGAUAGUGAACCAGUACCGUGAGGGAAAGGCGAAAAGAACCCCGGAGAGGGGAGUGAAAUAGAACCUGAAACCGUGUGCGUACAAGCAGUAGGAGCUCCGCAAGGAGUGACUGCGUACCUUUUGUAUAAUGGGUCAGCGACUUACUGUUCGUGGCAAGCUUAACCGUAUAGGGGAGGCGAAGGGAAACCGAGUCUGAUAAGGGCGCAUAGUCGCGGGCAGUAGACCCGAAACCGGGUGAUCUAGUCAUGCCCAGGGUGAAGGUGCGGUAACACGCACUGGAGGCCCGAACCCACUCCCGUUGCAAAGGUAGGGGAUGAGGUGUGAUUAGGAGUGAAAAGCUAAUCGAACCCGGAGAUAGCUGGUUCUCCUCGAAAGCUAUUUAGGUAGCGCCUCAUAUGUAUCCUCUCGGGGGUAGAGCACUGUUAUGGCUAGGGGGUCAUCGCGACUUACCAAACCAUUGCAAACUCCGAAUACCGAGACGGACUGUAUGGGAGACACACGGCGGGUGCUAACGUCCGUCGUGAAAAGGGAAACAACCCAGACCCACAGCUAAGGUCCCAAAUUCACUGCUAAGUGGAAAACCAUGUGGAAAGGCACAGACAGCCAGGAGGUUGGCUUAGAAGCAGCCACCCUUUAAAGAAAGCGUAAUAGCUCACUGGUCGAGUCGGUCUGCGGGGAAGAUUUAACGGGGCUAAGCAGUGAACCGAAGCUUGGGGUGCAUACUUUGUAUGCGCGGUAGAGGAGCGUUCCGUAAGCCGUUGAAGGUGGAUUGAGAAGUCUGCUGGAGGUAUCGGAAGUGCGAAUGCUGACAUGAGUAACGAUAAUGCGGGUGAAAAACCCGCACGCCGAAAGCCCAAGGUUUCCUUGCGCAACGUUAAUCGGCGCAGGGUGAGUCGGCCCCUAAGGCGAGGACGAAAGUCGUAGUCGAUGGGAAGCAGGUUAAUAUUCCUGCACCUCGCGUAAGUGCGAUGGAGGGACGGAGAAGGUUAGGUGUACCAGGCGUUGGUUGUCCUGGGGAAAGGCGGUAGGUUUGGAUCUUUGGCAAAUCCGGGAUCCUCUAAGACCGAGCACCGAGACGAGCCUUUAUGGCGAAGUCACUGAUACCACGCUUCCAGGAAAAGCUCCUAAGCUUCAGCUUACGCAGACCGUACCGUAAACCGACACAGGUGGGUAGGAUGAGAAUUCUCAGGCGCUUGAGAGAACUCGGGUGAAGGAACUAGGCAACAUGGCACCGUAACUUCGGGAGAAGGUGCACCCUUUUUGGUGGCUCGUGCGAGCUAUAGCUGAAGAGGGUCGCAGUAACCAGGCCGCUGCGACUGUUUAUCAAAAACACAGCACUCUGCAAACACGAAAGUGGACGUAUAGGGUGUGACGCCUGCCCGGUGCUGGAAGGUUAAUUGAUGGGGUCAGCCGCAAGGCGAAGCUCUUGAUCGAAGCCCCAGUAAACGGCGGCCGUAACUAUAACGGUCCUAAGGUAGCGAAAUUCCUUGUCGGGUAAGUUCCGACCUGCACGAAUGGCGUAACGACAGCGGCGCUGUCUCCACCCGAGACUCAGUGAAAUUGAAAUCGCUGUGAAGAUGCAGCGUUCCCGUGGCAAGACGGAAAGACCCCGUGAACCUUUACUAUAGCUUUACACUGAACGUUGAGUUCGUCUGUGUAGGAUAGGUGGGAGGCUAUGAAACCAUGGCGCUAGCUGUGGCGGAGCCAUCCUUGAAAUACCACCCUGUCGUGCUUGACGUUCUAACCUGGGCCCAUUAUCUGGGUCGGGGACCGUGUAUGGUGGGUAGUUUGACUGGGGCGGUCUCCUCCUAAAGAGUAACGGAGGAGCUCGAAGGUACGCUCAGCGCGGUCGGACAUCGCGCACUGUGUGCAAAGGCAUAAGCGUGCUUGACUGCAAGAUCGACGGAUCAAGCAGGUAGGAAACUAGGACUUAGUGAUCCGGUGGUUCUGUAUGGAAGGGCCAUCGCUCAACGGAUAAAAGGUACUCCGGGGAUAACAGGCUGAUACCGCCCAAGAGUUCAUAUCGACGGCGGUGUUUGGCACCUCGAUGUCGGCUCAUCACAUCCUGGGGCUGUAGUCGGUCCCAAGGGUAUGGCUGUUCGCCAUUUAAAGUGGUACGCGAGCUGGGUUCAGAACGUCGUGAGACAGUUCGGUCCCUAUCUGCCAUGGGCGUUGGAGAUUUGAGAGGGGCUGCUCCUAGUACGAGAGGACCGGAGUGGACGAACCUCUGGUGUUCCGGUUGUCACGCCAGUGGCAUUGCCGGGUAGCUAUGUUCGGAAGCGAUAACCGCUGAAAGCAUCUAAGCGGGAAGCGCGCCUCAAGAUGAGAUCUCCCGGGGCACAAGCCCCCUGAAGGAACCAUGUAGACUACGUGGUUGAUAGGUCAGGUGUGUAAGUACAGCAAUGUAUUGAGCUAACUGAUACUAAUGAUCCGUGCGGCUUGACCAU
rnacentral:rRNA from 1 species